rnacentral:rRNA from 1 species
GGACUUGCNAAUGGGGGAACCCUGAUGCAGCGACGCCGCGUGAGCGAUGAAGCCCCUCGGGGUGUAAAGCUCUUUCGGCAGGGAAGAUGAUGACGGUACCUGCAGAAGCAGCUGCGGCUAACUACGUGCCAGCAGCCGCGGUAAUACGUAGGCAGCAAGCGUUGUUCGGAGUUACUGGGCGUAAAGGGUGUGUAGGCGGUCUUUUAAGUUUGGUGUGAAAUCUCCCGGCUCAACUGGGAGGGUGCGCCGAAUACUGAAAGACUAGAGUGCGGGAGAGGAUAGUGGAAUUCCUGGUGUAGCGGUGAAAUGCGUAGAUAUCAGGAGGAACACCGGUGGUGUAGACGGCUAUCUGGACCGUAACUGACGCUGAGACACGAAAGCGUGGGUAGCAAACAGGAUUAGAUACCCUGGUAGUCCACGCCCUAAACGAUGCAUAUUUGGUGUGGGCAGUUCAGUCUGUCCGUGCCGGAGCUAACGCGUUAAAUAUGCCGCCUGGGGAGUACAGUCGCAAGGCUGAAACUCAAAAGAAUUGACGGA